AUUGAACGCUGGCGGCAUGCCUUACACAUGCAAGUCGAACGGCAGCAUGGAAGAGCUUGCUCUUCUGAUGGCGAGUGGCGAACGGGUGAGUAAAGCAUCGGAACGUACCGUGUAGUGGGGGAUAACGUAGCGAAAGUUACGCUAAUACCGCAUACGCACUGAGGUGGAAAGCAGGGGAUCGCAAGACCUUGCGCUAUACGAGCGGCCGAUGUCAGAUUAGCUAGUUGGUAGGGUAAAGGCCUACCAAGGCGACGAUCUGUAGCGGGGUCUGAGAGGAUGAUCCGCCACACUGGGACUGAGACACGGCCCAGACUCCUACGGGAGGGCAGCAGU
rnacentral:rRNA from 1 species